rnacentral:tRNA from 1 species
GCGCCUGUGGCCCAAAGGAUAGGGCGCUAGCCUCCGGAGCUAGAUGUGCAGGUUCGAUUCCCGCCAGGCGCAC